AGUAAAUAGAUACCCAGGUAGUCCACGCCCUAAACGAUGUCUACUAGUUGUUGGUGGAGUAAAAUCCAUUAGUAAACGCAGCUAAACGCGUGAAGUAGACCGCCUGGGGAGUACGGUCGCAAGAUCAAAACUCAAAGGAAUUGACGGGGGCCCGCACAAGCGGUGGAUUAUGUGGAUUAAAUUCGAUGCAACGCGAAAAACCUUACCUGGCCUUGACAUGCCACUAACGAAGCAGAGAUGCAUUAGGUGCCCGAAACGGGAAAGUGGACACAGGUGCUGCAUGGCUGUCGUCAGCUCGUGUCGUGAGAUGUUGGGUUUAAAGUCCCGCAACGAGCGCAACCCUUGCCAAUAAUUGCCAUCAUUCAGUU
rnacentral:rRNA from 1 species